rnacentral:misc_RNA from 1 species
AACGCACAUUGCGCCCCUUGGUAUUCCGAGGGGCAUGCCUGUUCGAGCGUCAUUUCAACCCUCAAGCUCUGCUUGGUGUUGGGACCCGCGGUGUCCGCGGUCCCUAAAAUCAGUGGCGGUGCCGCCUGGCUCCAAGCGUAGUGAUUAUCUCUCGCUAUGGUGUCUAGGUGGUGCCCGCCGUGAAACAUUUAAUUUUUCUAUGGUUGACCUCGGAUCAGGUAGGGAUACCCGCUGAACUUAA